GUUACUGUUCAUCAUGGGGGUACCGUGGACAAGCCCAGGGCUGCCGGCGAGUCAUGCCAUCCUUACAUGUUUCUCCUUGUAAGGUGCUUUGUAGUGUCUACACACUUUGUUUCUAGAUUGCUGCAAAGCUGAGGAAAAGUUGUAUUUCUUUAGUUAUUAGUUAGCAUUUCUUUUAAACUUUCAGUAUGGAGAUUGGAAAUUUAUUUACAUAUUUAUUGCAAAGCCCUGGAUCUUAGGAAUUUCAUUGAAUUAUUUAUUUAUUUUUUUUGAGACGGAGCCUCACUCUGUCGCCCAGGCUGGAGUGCAGUGGCACGAUCUCGGCUCACUGCAACCUCCGCCUCCCAGUAUAUUAAUUGUUUUCACUCUCUGAAUCUUUUUUCCCCAUUUCUUUGGCAGACAUUUUUACUUGUCUUGGAAGAGUAGGUGAAGAGCUGUUUUUAGGACUCUUUGAAAUUUUCCUUCUGCCUUCUGUAGUGGGAUGAUGCAGCAAGAAGACCCUUACCAGAUGCAGGCCCCUCAACCUUGGACUUCCUAACAUCCAGAACUGUUAAGAAAUAAAAUUUAUUCCUUUCCUUUCCUUUUCUUUGUCCUACAAAAGAGCAUACCUCUUCUGUAACCAGAAGGCCCUUUUGAUUAGUCAAGGCUGGACAGAGUGAGAUUGGGUGUGUGUGUGUGUGUGUGUGUGUGUGUGUGUGUGUGUGUGUUUGUGUGUGUCUUGAGACAGGGUCUCACUCUGUCACCAAGGCUAGAGUGCAGUGGUGAGAUCAGAGCUCACUGCAGCUUCCACUUCCUGGGCUCAAGUGAGUGAAAUUACCAUAAAAAUAAUAAUAGUAGCAGCUAAUAUUUACUGAGCUGUUACUAGGUGCCGAAGCCCUUAAAUUUUGUUUUUCACAUAUCGUUUAAAACUUUUAAGUGCUGAUGUCUGUACAGGACCACAGGACCGGGGCGAAAUUAAAAUUGCUAAUGAAGUUUCGGGCGCGCAUUGUCAUUGAUAACAUCUUAUCAGGAGAAAGGGUUUGAGAGCAGACAACCCAUCUGACCAACAUUUAUUAGGCGGGAAUUUCCUUGUCCUGAUAAGGCUGGGAGCGCCACGCGAACCCAGGGCUUAUUUCAUCCCUUAUCUAUGACUGUAAAAGACAGCCGUCCCCAAAGCGGCCAUUUCAGAGGCCUCCCCUUAGGGAUGCAUUCUCUUUCUCAGGGAUGUUCUUUGCUGAGAAAAAGAAUUCAGCAAUACUUCUCCUAUUUGCUUUUGAAAGAAGAGAAAUAUGGCUCUGUUCAACCCGGCCCACUGGCAGCCAGAGUUUAAGGUUAUCUCCC
rnacentral:lncRNA from 1 species